rnacentral:RNase_P_RNA from 1 species
AAGGCAUGGCAAACGGUCGCUUGAAAAAGAGGAAAGUCCGAGCUGCAAUAAGACAGUGUCGCGUCUAACGGACGCCGAGGGUAACCUUAGGGAAAGUGUAACAGAAAGCAAACUGCCGAGACCAACGGAAUUAAGCAUUUCAAAUCUUUUGAAAGAAAUUGGCUCGGUGAUGGUGAAACGGCGAGGUAAGAGCUCACCGGUAUCUUUGGCGACAAAGAUAGCCUUAUAAACCCGACACGCAGCAAGAAGGGGUGGUUUUGUCUUAUAUUUUACCCUUCGCUUGAACUUGGUUGCAAAAUCAAGUCUAGAUAAAUGGCCGUUACAACAGAACUCGGCUUAUCGCCAUGCCUUUUGU